UGAAAUUCCAAGUGCAGAUGCAAUACUCCAUUUGCGCGUUGUCGAUAGGAGUUAUUAAAACAUAUAGAAGAAAUAGUGUAGAGAAGGAGAAGAAAAGGAAACUAGUGGCUCUAGUCUAGGGUUCUAGCGGACAAGGGGCCUCAACAGUGGUCGUUACCGUGUGUCACAUUAAAGUGCGUCUUCGGUGUUACUAGUAUACAAGGGCAGUUGUUACUGGUCUUAAUGGGUUGGAGUUAUAUACCGUUUGGGGUUCAAAAUGUUUUGGAUUAGAACCAUGUCGAUGUGCAAACUUUUGGUAACCUCAAUUCUCUUUUUUUUUUCCAUUUCAUUUUUUUUAGAAAGCUCAGUUUUACCUGCAAGUGAAAAUCCGUAGAUUCAGUUACCGUUAUUGCUACUGAGCGAUGAUAUUGCUAGGCAAUUCAUCUCUUCACUCUCUUCUAGCGCAGUGGGUUUUUUAAUAGUGCUCGAGGGUUCACGUCCUCUUUUUAGUGCCGUUUUUUGUUCAUGGGAAGUAACGGUGAACUCAAGACAGUUCCAGCUGACCAGCUCCCAAGCCUUCGGACGUAUGCUGCUCAUUGCACUCUGACCCCCCGUCGUUGCUGUUGAUAGUGUCGCUGCAAACGGCGCCGGCCCUUGACUGAGGCGCCGUGGCUCUCCGUCAGGAAGAUCGAUCUCCAAUAUCUCGUGGAUAAGGCCACGGCCCGCGGGGAAGCUCACGGCUUUAGUUCUUCAUGUGAGCACCAUCUGUGCUUCCGAGAAGAUUGAGCGGGUCUUCCUCUUACAGGAAGAUGUUAUAGAGGGCCUUCCUAUAAGAUGAUGCUGUUCUACUAUGUGUGCCUUUUAACUACACAGGCUUGUUUUGUUGUUACUUUGCAUGCCUCUGAUGAGUCCUCGUCUUCUUUCCAAUUCCAUUAUUCUUCGGUGACGCGUUUACUCUCCCUGUCAGGACUUCUCCUCAUUGUGAAACUCAAAUUUUUUUUAUGGAAAGCACCACCAGUAUUCUCAUGCACAUCAACUUUGUGGAGACUUCAGUUCAAAUGCAUUUGACUUGUAGGAAAAAGAUGACAUUAAACGAUGACAUAAAGUUCAGAGGGUUGGGAAGACCGCCCUCUGACACCUGCUGCUUCCAUUGGAAAUCAAUAACAACAUUCAACCAGCAUCCAUGGUGUUUCAUACACUCAUCCAGAACAUAGAAAAGAGAAGCUGAACCAACAAACGUUGGAUGCAGCCACUUACAGCCUCGGCAGUGUUCGACAGAACAAAAGACAUAAUCAAAUCCAGCAAGCAGAUGAACUACUUCGGUUGGUCACGAGCUAAGAUGCAGCAGCCUGGUGAAGAAGAGCUUAAUUAGCAGACCACUUCCUUGGACGGCGACGACGACGACUCGGCGAUCACCGCCAGCUUUUCGUCAUCCAAACCAUAUGUCCUGUCUCCACACUGAGGCAGCCUCGGCUCCAGCGUCUGCCAGCUACAAUAUAUAUACAUUCCUCUCAGCUCAUUACAGAUAGGCGAAAGCACAUAGCUCUUUUGCAGAACUGAAGGAGACUUACCGUGCUUGCGAGGGUUUCCGACAGCCGGUUGAUUUCUUCGGGGAUAUCUGAAUCUGUGUUCUUGCCUGCCAAGUGUGUUUUAGCAGUGAAGCACUCGACCUUUGGCUUAGCAUGGGCACCCCUAUGACGUAAACUCAAGUUUAGUGAUAAUCCACUUGAUGGCUGCUAACAAAAGAACGACAAAAUGCGGUGUGUUGGAGGCAGCAGCACUGACCUGCCCGGAGCAUCGUUCUCACUCAACAUCGGCAAGAUUUCUGUUUCUGAAAAUAGGAGGCUGUGAUGACUCACACCUGCUAUUCCUUGCUUCUCCAGAAACUGGAUGUGCUCCCGCAACGACUCGUCCCUGGAAGAUAUAGUACAGGCAAACAGAUUAACUUUUUUUUUUUGCCGGGUGAAAGAGAGUUUUAUUCCAUAAAAGCAGGGUUACAAUCUUGAGCCAGCUGCUCCUCACAACACGGAGGACUCGAACUCAACCAUACCGCAGUACAACACUCGGUACGGCUAUAAUGUGCCAAAAGAUGAGCUACCCUGUUUUGAUCUCUACUAAUUUUCAGAGGAACAAAC
rnacentral:lncRNA from 1 species